CUACGGAAGGUCCGGGCGUUAUCCGGAUUUAUUGGGUUUAAAGGGAGCGCAGGCGGAGAUGCAAGCGUGACGUCAAAUUUCGGGGCUCAACCCCGUCUCGCGUCGCGAACUGCGUCCCUUGGUUGCGGGAAGGGGAGGCGGAACUCGUGGUGUAGCGGUGAAAUGCAUAGAUAUCACGAAGAACUCCGAUCGCGAAGGCAGCCUCCCGGCCCGUCAACGACGCUCAUGCUCGAAGGUGCGGGUAUCAAACAGGAUUAGAUACCCUGGUAGUCCGCACAGUAAACGAUGGACACCCGCGGUUUGGCCUAUAUGGCUGAGCCGCCAAGCGAAAGCGUUAAGUGUCCCACCUGGGGAGUACGCCGGCAACGGUGGAACUCAAAUGAAUUGACGGGG
rnacentral:rRNA from 1 species